AAGCAUAUCAAUAAGCGGAGGAAAAGAAACUAACAAGGAUUCCCCUAGUAACUGCGAGUGAAGCGGGAAGAGCUCAAAUUUGAAAUCUGGCAGUUGUUGACUGUCCGAGUUGUAAUCUAGAGAAGUGUUACCAGUGCUGGACCGUGUACAAGUCUCCUGGAAUGGGGCAUCAUAGAGGGUGAGAAUCCCGUCUUUGACACGGACUACCUGUACACCAUGGUGCGCUCUCAAAGAGUCGAGUUGUUUGGGAAUGCAGCUCAAAAUGGGUGGUAAAUGCCAUCUAAAGCUAAAUAUUGGCGAGAGACCGAUAGCGAACAAGUACCGUGAGGGAAAGAUGAAAAGAACUUUGGAAAGAGAGUUAAACAGUACGUGAAAUUGCUGAAAGGGAAACGCUUGAAGUCAGUCACGUUGGCUAGAAAUCAGCCUUGCUCUUGCUUGGUGUACUUUCUGGUUGAUGGGUCAGCAUCAAUUUUGACCAUUGGAUAAAGGUCAUUGGGAAUACUCCCUGUGUCAUAAUACAGUGGUUGGGAUUGAGGAAUUCAGCACGCCGCAAGGCAGGGUUUCGACCACAUUCGUGCUUAGGAUGCUGGCAUAAUGGCUUUAAUCGACCCGUCUUGAAACACGGACCAAGGAGUCUAACAUGCCUGCGAGUGUUUGGGUGGAAAACCCAUGCGCGUAAUGAAAGUGAAAGUUGAGAUCCCCUUCAAACAGGGAGCAUUGACRCCCGGACCAGAGCUUUUGUGAUGGAUCCGCGGUAGAGCAUGUAUGUUGGGACCCGAAAGAUGGUGAACUAUGCCUGAAUAGGGUGAAGCCAGAGGAAACUCUGGUGGAGGCUCGUAGCGAUUCUGACGUGCAAAUCGAUCGUCAAAUUUGGGUAUAGGGGCGAAAGACUAAUCGAA
rnacentral:rRNA from 1 species